AUUCUAUCGUGCAUAUUCCAAUUGAUGCGGAAGUUAAAAUAACUCCUAUGAGCCUACACAUGAUUCACAACCAUAGUAACUAUUAAGGUCUCCAACCAUAUUAUUAAACAUUCAGAUAAAAUUGGCCAUGUAAUCAUUUACCAAGAAACAUUCUAACAGAAUUUCACACAAGUACUACAGCAGCAUACCAUAUUUUUCCAAAUCAAGAGGGACAGAAAAAUUAAAAAACCAGCAACAGACCGUAUUACACAAUCAACUGCAGACGAAUAAGCCCCACAGCCUCUUGAAAAUAGCCACUUAUACUCUCACUACGGAUAGCCAACUAGCAGUGAUAAAGAAGGAAUAAAUGCCACUUCAGCACCUAUAAGCCAUAUGGGGAAAACAAUCUUUGAACAAGAUGUGGAUGCCCAAGGAUAAUGUUCCUCUAGAUAUUUCACUAGUAGAUUGCUCGCAGUUUUUAUUCAGAAGACUGAUGAAUGUAUCCAUACAGAUACAGACUUUUGGAUGCAUCCUGAGCUAUUUGUCCAAGUUAUGACUUACCAGAUGCACUCAUGCAAAUGUUCCUUACCUGAGGAUCAUACCUAACUGUCAUAAUAAAAUUGAGGCCACUAAAUACUUCAGUGCCACUUCAAAUGAUGGUAUUAUACAAUCGUCAUUUUGAGAGAUGAGACCCAAGCACAUUUGGAUUGCUGAUAUGAAUCUGUUUUCCUCCCACAAGUUGAAGACACAAAAAGCUAUCUUCAUGCUUAAUCAAUCAUUUCCGGUCGAUCUAUAGAAAAACAGUCGUUCACAGAAAAUGAACUCACCAUAAGUAUACAACCACCCCUACCCCACUGCAACACUAUCCGACGAUAUAAACAUACCACAACUUCUAAAACUUCACAUGAAAACAAUCUAUGAAGACAUCAGGAAAGAAAAAAGAGAGUUCAAAGUGAAGUCCAAACUUAUUGCCCUGUGAAGUUGUAGUAUAAUGUGAAAUGAAAGCAACUGGUGGUUCAGAUAGGACAGGGCAAUUCCCACGUAAAGAAGACAAACCAGCAGAGACAGUGAUGGAUUCAGUCAAUGAUAAGAAGCUUGUAG